rnacentral:rRNA from 1 species
UACGUAGGGGGCAAGCGUUGUCCGGAUUUACUGGGCGUAAAGAGCGUGUAGGCGGCCAGGCAGGUCUGUUGUGAAAACUGGAGGCUCAACUUCCAGACGUCGACAGAAACCGCUUGGCUAGAGUCCGGAAGAGGAGAGUGGAAUUCCUGGUGUAGCGGCGAAAUGCGCAGAUAUCAGGAAGAACACCCGUGGCUAAGGCGGUUCUCUAGUACGGUACUGACGCUGAGACGCGAAAGCGUGGGGAGCAAACAGG